rnacentral:rRNA from 1 species
UAUGUGAUCGUCUCUCGCAUAUCAAUAAGCGGAGGAAAAGAAACUAACAAGGAUUCCCCUAGUAACGGCGAGUGAAGCGGGAAAGAGCUCAAAUUUGAAAUCUUAAAGGGUUUCCCUUUACGAAUUGUAGUUUAAAGAAGUGUUUUCUGUUGAGGUUUUGGUAAAAGUUCUUUGGAAUAGGACAUCAUAGAGGGUGAGAAUCCCGUAUUUGACCUUUACUUUCAACUUUGUGAUACACUUUCAAAGAGUCGGAUUGUUUGGGAAUGCAGUCCAAAAUGGGUGGUAAAUUUCAUCUAAAGCUAAAUAUUGGCGAGAGACCGAUAGCGAACAAGUACCGUGAGGGAAAGAUGAAAAGAACUUUGAAAAGAGAGUUAAACAGUACGUGAAAUUGUCAAAAGGGAAGCGUUUGACACCAGUGUUGUUUUUCUGAAAAUCAAUUAAAGAACUGUUUAUGCUAAGUUGUUUAGACUUUAUCAGCUAACUGUUUAGUUUUGAGCUUUUCUUUAAUGCACUUUUCAGUUAACAAGUCAACGUCAAUUUCUUUUGCUGUAAAAAAGCUUGAGGAAGGUGGCUUGAGAUUCGUCUUAAGUGUUUAUAGCCUCUUGCCUAUGCAGUCGGAGAGAUUGAGGUCUGCAGCGUAGAUCCUUCGGGGCUAAAUGCAUUUGUGCUAAGUUAUAACAUUUUAUAGACAACUUGUUGACUAUGAUUUGUCUUGUAGCUUACUCGCUUAUGUUAUUUUACCUACGCUUAGGAUGUUGAGUAGCGACAUACGCAC